rnacentral:misc_RNA from 1 species
CAAAUCUUAUAGUGGCGUGGCGCGGGGAGGUUAUCCUAACCCGUGGCCAGCCAUGUUUGCACGGGGCGAGCGAUCGCCUCGAUGUUUACGCUUGUGAGUUUGACAGAGGUAUGAGUGAGGAGAAAUUUAGA